CCUACGGGUGGCAGCAGUGAGGAAUAUUGGUCAAUGGACGAGAGUCUGAACCAGCCAAGUAGCGUGAAGGAUGACUGCCCUAUGGGUUGUAAACUUCUUUUAUAUGGGAAUAAAAUGUUCCACGUGUGGGAUUUUGUAUGUACCAUAUGAAUAAGGAUCGGCUAACUCCGUGCCAGCAGCCGCGGUAAUACGGAGGAUCCGAGCGUUAUCCGGAUUUAUUGGGUUUAAAGGGAGCGUAGGUGGAUUGUUAAGUCAGUUGUGAAAGUUUGCGGCUCAACCGUAAAAUUGCAGUUGAAACUGGCAGUCUUGAGUACAGUAGAGGUGGGCGGAAUUCGUGGUGUAGCGGUGAAAUGCUUAGAUAUCACGAAGAACUCCGAUUGCGAAGGCAGUUCACUGGACUGCAACUUACACUGAGGCUCGAAAGUGUGGGUAUCAAACAGGAUUAGAUACCCGAGUAGUC
rnacentral:rRNA from 1 species